rnacentral:rRNA from 1 species
GAUGAACGCUAGCGGCAGGCCUAAUACAUGCAAGUCGGACGGGAUUCAGGAGCUUGCUUCUGAUGAGAGUGGCGCACGGGUGCGUAACACGUAUGUAACCUACCUUUAUCAGGGGGUUAGCCUCCCGAAAGAGAGAUUAAGCCCGCAUAAAAUCACAUCACAGCCUUGUGUAAUGAUCAAAUAUUUAUAGGAUAAAGAUGGGCAUGCGGAACAUUAGCGAGAUGGCGGGGUAACGGCCCACCAUGGCGACGAUGUUUAGGGGAUCUGAGCGGAUGUCCCCCCAGACUGGAACUGAGGCACGGACCAGACUCGGAGGGAGGGGAGCGGUAUGGUAUAGUAGGCAAGGAGCGGAAGCCUGACAAAGCCGUGCCGGGUACAGAAAGACUGGGAUAGGAGUUGUAAACUGCUUGUAAAGGGGAAUAAUCCAAGAUACGGGUAUCUGGCUGAAUGUACUGAAAGAAUAAGGAUCGGCUAACUCCGUG